rnacentral:lncRNA from 10 species
GUAUAAAAUGCAAUAUCUGCAUAGCACAAUAAAGUGAGGCACAAUAAAAUGAGGUAUGUCUGCAAUGUGAGCCACAGCAAUCACAUUUAUGCUAUGGAGUCUUGACUCUCAGUAUAUAAUUCUGAAGAUUCUUCUAAACCCUAGAUAUGCAUUUUUAUACCUUUACCCUGCAUUCAUGUGUUUCAUCAAUAUCUUCAACUCCAGGAAUCUAAAAUUAGCUCAUUACCUAUAUUAUCUCCUUCAUAUCAGUCUGCAGUUUCUUACAUAUUUCCAAUCUAGGAUCAAUUUAAAUAUGAUCAAUUUAAGCUAGAAUGUUAAUACUACCAACAAUUUAGACUC